rnacentral:rRNA from 1 species
AACGUAGGAGACAAACGUUAUCCGGAGUUACUGGGCGUAAAGGGCGUGUAGGCGGUUUGUUAAGUCUGGCGUGAAAGCUCUCGGCUAAACCGGGAGAGGUCGUUGGAUACUGGCAAACUAGAGGACGGUAGAGGCGUGUGGAAUUCCGGGUGUAGUGGUGAAAUGCGUAGAGAUCCGGAGGAACACCAGUGGCGAAGGCGACACGCCGGGCCGUACCUGACGCUAAAGCGCGACAGCAUGGGGAGCAAACGGG